rnacentral:rRNA from 1 species
UGGGGAAUAUUGCGCAAUGGGGGAAACCCUGACGCAGCCAUGCCGCGUGAGUGAAGAAGGUCUUCGGAUCGUAAAGCUCUUUCAACGGUGAAGAUGAUGACGGUAGCCGUAGAAGAAGCCCCGGCUAACUUCGUGCCAGCAGCCGCGGUAAUACGAAGGGGGCAAGCGUUGUUCGGAAUUACUGGGCGUAAAGGGCGUGUAGGCGGUCUAAUCAGUCAGAGGUGAAAGCCCUGGGCUCAACCCAGGAAUUGCCUUUGAUACUGUUAGACUAGAGUUCGGGAGAGGAUAGUGGAAUUCCCAGUGUAGAGGUGAAAUUCGUAGAUAUUGGGAAGAACACCAGUGGCGAAGGCGGCUAUCUGGACCGAUACUGACGCUGAGGCGCGAAAGCGUGGGGAGCAAACAGGAUUAGAUACCCUGGUAGUCCACGCCGUAAACGAUGAGUGCUAGAUGUUGGGA